GGGAGGAUGACAAACAUGUGUAAUACACUUUCAUGUGUCAAUAUUCAUUGUGAAGUAAAUCCCGGACAUUUGCUUGUCAAGAAAACUGAAGUAUCUCGAAAAUCUUCAAAAUAAGUUACCAUAUCAUUUCAACACUUCUUAAGAAUAAGAUGAUGAAAAGAAUUAAGGUUAGAUCCACUUUAAAUUAACCCAUUACAGAUAAGCACGUUUGACGAUCUUAUUCACUGGUACCAC